AUGAUGGUUAAUUAUAUAUUUUAUAUUAUAAUAAUGCAGAUGAAUCGGCAAUGGAUGUACGGUAACCGACUCUUCGGCGAGUUCACUACGGGUUUGAAAGAUUUCCUCGUAGUGGCUAAUGCGAACAAGCAGGGGGGUUUUGUUAUCUGUCCAUGUGUUAUCUGUAAGAAUCAGAAGGGUUACUCUUCCUCAAGAGAUGUUCACAUGCAUCUGCUUCGGCACGGUUUCAUGCCAAGCUAUAAUUGUUGGACCAAGCAUGGAGAAAGAGGGGUUAUAAUGGAAGAAGAUGAAGAAGGGGAUGAUUUCAUCGAUGAAAGCUAUCUUGCUCAUUUCGGUGAUACUUUCAUGGAGGAUGCUGAAGGUGAAGGGGAAGGUGAAGAAGAGGCACGUGAUGACCCCGUUGAUGAUCUUGGUCGGACCAUUGCUGAUGCACGGAGACGCUGCGAAACUGAAAAGGAGAGGGAGAAUUUGGAUCGCAUGUUAGAGGAUCACAGAAAGGCGCUGUACCCCGGAUGCGAUGAUGGUCUGAAAAAGCUGGGCUGCACACUGGAUUUGCUGAAAUGGAAGGCAGAGGCAGGUGUAGCUGACUCGGCAUUUGAAAACUUGCUGAAAAUGUUGAAGAAUAUGUUUCCAGAGGAUAACGAGUUGCCCGCCAGUACGUACGAAGCAAAGAAGGUUGUCUGCCCUCUAGGUUUAGAGGUUCUGAAGAUACAUGCAUGCAUCAACGACUGCAUCCUCUACCGCGGUGAAUACGAGAAUUUGAAUGAAUGCCCGGUAUGCACUGCAUUGCGUUAUAAGAUCAGAGGCGAUGACCCUGGUGACGAUGUUGAGGGCCAGAAACCCAGGAAGAGGGUUCCCGCCAAGGUGAUGUGGUAUGCUCCUAUAAUACCACGGUUGAAACGUCUGUUCAGGAACAAAGAGCAUGCCAAGUUGUUGCGAUGGCACAAAGAGGACCGUAAGUCGGACGGGGAGUUGAGACACACCGCAGAUGGAACGCAAUGGAGAAAGAUCGACAGAUGGUUCAAAGAUUUUGCAGCUGACGCAAGGAACAUAAGAUUUGCUCUAAGUACGGAUGGCAUGAAUCCUUUUGGCGAGCAGAGCUCCAGCCAUAGCACCUGG
rnacentral:rRNA from 1 species